AUUGAACGCUGGCGGCAGGCCUAACACAUGCAAGUCGGGCGAGCGGCGGACGGGUGAGUAAUGCCUGGGAAUUGCCCAGUCGAGGGGGAUAACAGUUGGAAACGACUGCUAAUACCGCAUACGAUUGGAUUGCCCAGGUGGGAUUAGCUAGUUGGUGAGGUCAUUGCUCACCAAGGAGACGAUCCCUAGCUGGUCUGAGAGGAUGAUCAGCCACAAGGGGACUGAGACACGGGCCAAACUCCUACGGGAGGCAGCAGUGGGGAAUAUUGCACAAUGGGGGAAACCCUGAUGCAGCCAUGCCGCGUGUGUGAAGAAGGCCUUCGGGUUGUAAAGCACUGUCAGCGAGGAGGCGUUACUCGCAGAGGAAGCACCGGCUAACUCCGUGCCAGCAGCCGCGGUAAUAC
rnacentral:rRNA from 1 species